UCACUCCUUUUUUAAGACCAUCAGAGAGAGAGAGAGACCAGCAGAAACCGGUUUCUUCUUCCUCUCCUUAGCUUAUUUCUUCCUUUCUUUUAUUCUUCUUUUCUAAGACUGAGAGACCCUCAUGUAGUCCAUGACCCAGCCCGUGUCCUCCAACUGUGAGCCAGCCCCGAACCGCAGCCCAUGCAACCAACAAACACGAACCAUGCAGGGACCAUACAGCUCUACCCCGAAACUCAUGCAGCCGAGCCCGAUCUACCGAAACCCGCGACUCGGUUCCCAUCGAGCUGUAGAUCCGUGAGCCACACCGUGAAUCCCAGCCCUCUGCAGACUCACGCAUGACCGCGCGUGCGUGCAACCCAGAGACCCAAGAUCCGGAUCCGAGCCAUUCCCGUCGAUGCCGCGAAGACCCGUAAGGCACGAACCCAGAACCCCGUGCUGGAUGGCAUUUUCCGACGAUCGGGAUGGUGUUUUCCAGCGACAAACCCGACCACUUCAGGGUAUUAAUUAUUGUGAAUUAAAUAAUGUGAGUGUGUGAAUUAAAUAAUAUGAGUGAGUGAAUUAAAUAAUGUGAGUGGAAUAAUAUGAAUUAAAUAAGGUGAGUGUGUGAAUUAAAUAAUGUGAGUGGAAUAAUAUGAAUUAAAUAAUGUGAGUGUGUGAAUUAAAUAAUGUGAGUGGAUUAAUAUAGAUUAAAUAAUGUGAGUGUGUGCAGCCAGCCCGACCCGGCAACAACCCAAGCCCAUACCCAUGACCCGACCCGGAAUCCCGACCCGCCGGCGACCCGCCGCCGGCAGUUUCUCCGGCGACUUUUCCGGCAGUUUCUCCGGCGACUUUUCCGUCAGUUUUUCCGGCGACUUCUCCGGUGACUUUUCCGGCGACUUUUCCGGCCACUUUCCGGUGACUUUCCGGCCACUUUCCGGCUAUUUUCCCCGGCGACCAAACUCACCGUUUCGCUGGAUUUUCGAGUGGAAAUCCUUAAUAUGUUUGCGCAGGUACUGAAGAUUAUGGAAUGGAUUAACUGCUAGCUUAAGAGAUUUAUAGCUGUGUAGUUAGGAUUUUAGUACUUUGUACUCAUAGAUGUUUGUACUAUUUGCUUGUAAUAUGUCUAGACAUUUACUUGUAAUUAAUAAGUUCCAUGCAGGCUUUAGUGUCAUAUGUGUCACAUGUUUCUUUGUAAAUAGUGUAAAGAUUUUUAAUGUAUUUUCUAGAAGAUGUCAGUUAAAGCUCUGAAUAUAUCGUAAGGGAGUUGUCCCUAUCGGUGAUGUUUAAAAAAAAGAUAUUCGUAUUUUUCCGCUGCCAGAUUUUAUCAACUCUGAAUGGUUAAUGACACGUAAUUAUCCAGAUAUAAUUACUUACGCUCUUUUGUAAAAAGCGGGUCGUUACAAAGAAGAUAGAGAAAUUGAAGAAAAACUGAAAUGAAUUCACUGACCUCCAUACCAGCAACAUUGUGACUGGGGUGGGUUGGAACGAGGUGGACAAUACGGUCGCGCUAGAUUAGCGUCAAUGGGAACAAUUAAAAUCGCAAUAUGGCCCAAGUAAAUAUUACAGAUUCAGGAAAGGCGCACCGGCAAACUACUCCCUCUUGAACAACAUCUAUACAGGGUCAACUGCAACUGGUCGAUAUAGAUAUUGAAAAAUAAAGAGACUUCUAAUUUUAACAAGUGUGUGUGAACAGUGUGCAAAUAAAU